rnacentral:rRNA from 1 species
AGUGAACGCUGGCGGUAGGCCUAACACAUGCAAGUCGAACGGCAGCACAGUAAGAGCUUGCUCUUACGGGUGGCGAGUGGCGGACGGGUGAGGAAUACAUCGGAAUCUACUUUUUCGUGGGGGAUAACGUAGGGAAACUUACGCUAAUACCGCAUACGACCUACGGGUGAAAGCAGGGGAUCUUCGUACCUUGCGCGAUUGAAUGAGCCGAUGUCGGAUUAGCUAGUUGGCGGGGUAAAGGCCCACCAAGGCGACGAUCCGCAGCUGGUCUGAGAGGAUGAUAAGCCACACUGGAACUGAGACACGGUCCAGACUCCUACGGGAGGCAGCAGUGGGGAAUAUUGGACAAUGGGCGCAAGCCUGAUCCAGCCAUACCGCGUGGGUGAAGAAGGCCUUCGGGUUGUAAAGCCCUUUUGUUGGGAAAGAAAAGCAGCAGGUUAAUACCCCGCUGUUCUGACGGUACCCAAAGAAUAAGCACCGGCUAACUUCGUG